rnacentral:rRNA from 1 species
GUACGGCGGAACACGUGAAAUUCCGUCGGAAUCCGGGAGGACCAUCUCCCAAGGCUAAAUACUCCCUAGUGACCGAUAGUGAACCAGUACCGUGAGGGAAAGGUGAAAAGCACCCCGGAAGGGGAGUGAAACAGUUCCUGAAACCGUGUGCCUACAAGUAGUUAGAGCCCGUUAAUGGGUGAUAGCGUGCCUUUUGUAGAAUGAACCGGCGAGUUACGAUUUGUUGCAAGGUUAAGCGGAAAAAGCGGAGCCGUAGCGAAAGCGAGUCUGAAUAGGGCGCAUAAGUAACAGGUCGUAGACCCGAAACCAGGUGAUCUACCCAUGUCCAGGAUGAAGGUAAGGUAAUACUUACUGGAGGUCCGAACCCACGCACGUUGAAAAGUGCGGGGAUGAGGUGUGGGUAGCGGAGAAAUUCCAAUCGAACUUGGAGAUAGCUGGUUCUCUCCGAAAUAGCUUUAGGGCUAGCCUCGAGGUAAAGAGUCAUGGAGGUAGAGCACUGUUUGGACUAGGGGCCCUUCUCGGGUUACCGAAUUCAGAUAAACUCCGAAUGCCAUGUACUUAUACUCGGGAGUCAGACUGCGAGUGAUAAGAUCCGUAGUCGAAAGGGAAACAGCCCAGACCACCAGUUAAGGUCCCCAAAUAUAUGUUAAGUGGAAAAGGAUGUGGGGUUGCUUAGACAACCAGGAUGUUGGCUUAGAAGCAGCCACCAUUGAAAGAGUGCGUAAUAGCUCACUGGUCGAGUGACCCCGCGCCGAAAAUGUACCGGGGCUAAACAUAUUACCGAAACUGUGGAUGAACCUCUUUAGAGGUUCGUGGUAGGAGAGCGUUCUAAGGGCGGUGAAGUCAGACCGGAAGGACUGGUGGAGCGCUUAGAAGUGAGAAUGCCGGUAUGAGUAGCGAAAGAAGGGUGAGAAUCCCUUCCACCGAAUAUCUAAGGUUUCCUGAGGAAGGCUCGUCCGCUCAGGGUUAGUCGGGACCUAAGCCGAGGCCGAUAGGCGUAGGCGAUGGACAACAGGUAGAGAUUCCUGUACCAGUGCUAAUUGUUUAACCGAUGGGGUGACACAGAAGGAUAGGGAAUCGCACGAAUGGAAAUGUGCGUCCAAGCAGUGAGUGUGAGAAGUAGGCAAAUCCGCUUCUCGCGAAGCAUGAGCUGUGAUGGGGAAGGAAAUUAAGUACGGAAGUUCCUGAUUUCACGCUGUCAAGAAAAGCCUCUAGGAAGAGUAGUACUGCCCGUACCGCAAACCGACACAGGUAGAUGAGGAGAGAAUCCUAAGGUGAGCGAGAGAACUCUCGUUAAGGAACUCGGCAAAAUGACCCCGUAACUUCGGGAGAAGGGGUGCUCUAUUAGGGUGCAAGCCCGAGAGAGCCGCAGUGAAUAGGCCCAGGCGACUGUUUAGCAAAAACACAGGUCUCUGCAAAACCGUAAGGUGACGUAUAGGGGCUGACGCCUGCCCGGUGCUGGAAGGUUAAGAGGAGUGCUUAGCUUCGGCGAAGGUACGAAUUGAAGCCCCAGUAAACGGCGGCCGUAACUAUAACGGUCCUAAGGUAGCGAAAUUCCUUGUCGGGUAAGUUCCGACCCGCACGAAAGGCGCAACGAUCUGGGCACUGUCUCAACGAGAGACUCGGUGAAAUUAUAGUACCUGUGAAGAUGCAGGUUACCCGCGACAGGACGGAAAGACCCCGUGGAGCUUUACUGCAACCUGAUAUGGAAUGUUUGUACCGCUUGUACAGGAUAGGUAGGAGCCGAAGAGACGUGUGCGCUAGCAUACGAGGAGGCAAUGGUGGGAUACUACCCUGGCUGUAUGACCAUUCUAACCCGCCACGCUUAGCGCGUGGGGAGACAGUGUCAGGUGGGCAGUUUGACUGGGGCGGUCGCCUCCUAAAGAGUAACGGAGGCGCCCAAAGGUUCCCUCAGAAUGGAUGGAAAUCAUUCGCAGAGUGUAAAGGCACAAGGGAGCUUGACUGCGAGACUGACAAGUCGAGCAGGGACGAAAGUCGGGCUUAGUGAUCCGGUGGUUCCGCAUGGAAGGGCCAUCGCUCAACGGAUAAAAGCUACCCCGGGGAUAACAGGCUUAUCUCCCCCAAGAGUCCACAUCGACGGGGAGGUUUGGCACCUCGAUGUCGGCUCGUCGCAUCCUGGGGCUGUAGUCGGUCCCAAGGGUUGGGCUGUUCGCCCAUUAAAGCGGCACGCGAGCUGGGUUCAGAACGUCGUGAGACAGUUCGGUCCCUAUCCGUCGCGGGCGCAGGAAAUUUGAGAGGAGCUGUCCUUAGUACGAGAGGACCGGGAUGGACACACCGCUGGUGUACCAGUUGUUCCGCCAGGAGCAUCGCUGGGUAGCUAUGUGUGGCAGGGAUAAACGCUGAAAGCAUCUAAGCGUGAAGCCCCCCUCAAGAUGAGAUUUCCCAUUUCUUCGGAAAGUAAGAUCCCUGAAAGAUGAUCAGGUAGAUAGGUUUGGAGUGGAAGUGUAGCGAUACAUGGAGCGGACAAAUACUAAUCGAUCGAGGACUUAACCAAAA